UCCUCUGAACUGAGUUCAACCUUCUUAUUUUUCAGAAAAGGAAACUAAGGAACAGACUUGCCUAAGGUCACACAGGGAGUAAGAGGCAGAGCCUGGAUUCAAACUCAAGUCCUUUGACUCCAAAGCAGAAUUCUUUCUUCAGCUGCAUCCUCCGGCUGACUCCGUGCUAAUCAUUAACAAUCCUUUUACUUUCACUCUUGAUGGGAUUCUCUCACUUGGAUUAAGACAAGAAGUGACAAAGAAAUGAUAAAUGAGUAGCAGAGAUGGAAUGAACUUGAGAACUUUAAAAGGUUGGAAUAGCCACCAGCUCUCCACAAAUGGUCACGUAUAGCAGAGUGUCCGGUAUACACAGAAGCCUAGCUCUUGACAGCAGCCUGCUUGAAGCAACCCAUCAGUGGAUUAAUCAAGAAGCUGAGAUAUAGUGUCCUGAAAGCAAGGAGAAAACUUGUCUAUUGGCCAUGGCAACCUCAACAGUGAACUUGGUAGGAUGAAUGCUUCUUAGCUACCACUUUAAGUUUGAACCCAGUGAACUCCAGUGACUAAGGUGGUAGAAGAGAUUGUGUCCUGGUUCCAGAAAUGUUUUUGUAUUUUGGUUCUUACUGUAUCCUUUAGCAAAUAUCCCCCUGUAAAACUAAAUUAUCUUUAUUGUUUAUCAAUGAUAUGAUUAAAUAUCAACUGGUCAAAAUUAUAAUAG